rnacentral:rRNA from 1 species
AUUGAACGCUGGCGGCAUGCUUUACACAUGCAAGUCGAACGGCAGCACGGGGGCAACCCUGGUGGCGAGUGGCGAACGGGUGAGUAACACAUCGGAACGUGUCCAGUUGUGGGGGAUAACCCAUCGAAAGGUGGGCUAAUACCGCAUGAGCUGGCAACAGGAAAGCGGGGACCCGCAAGGCCUUGUGCGAUUGGAGCGGCCGAUGUCCGAUUAGCUAGUUGGUGGGGUAAAGGCCUACCAAGGACUUCGAUCGGUAGCUGGUCUGAGAGGAUGAUCAGCCACACUGGGACUGAGACACGGCCCAGAC